AGCAGUCGCCACGGUAACACGUAGGGUGCGAGCGUUAAUCGGAAUUACUGGGCGUAAAGCGUGCGCAGGCGGUGAUGUAAGACAGUUGUGAAAUCCCCGGGCUCAACCUGGGAACUGCAUCUGUGACUGCAUCGCUGGAGUGCGGCAGAGGGGGAUGGAAUUCCGCGUGUAGCAGUGAAAUGCGUAGAUAUGCGGAGGAACACCGAUGGCGAAGGCAAUCCCCUGGGCCUGCACUGACGCUCAUGCACGAAAGCGUGGGGAGCAAACAGGAUUAGAGACCCGUGUAGUCCCUGUCUCUUAUAC
rnacentral:rRNA from 1 species